GUUCUUCUCAAGCGAGUCUAGGAUAGUGGAAGCUAGAUGGGAGAUAGGGUAAUAAUUGGCACUUUCGUAAUGAGCCUAGCUCAAUUUUUUAAACAAAUGAAGUAAUAAAUUAGGGUGGAACCGCGUUUUGACG
rnacentral:sRNA from 19 species